UUACCUGGAACUCUAAAAUAUAAAACAGAUUACAAAAAGCUGCUCUGGCUAAAGAGGCAGCCAGGGAGGGGCCAAGGAGAAUGUGUGGCCUGUAUGCUUGGCUUACCUCUGCUGCCCCCAGAUGGCCUAUGUGGUGACAAAUAAAAAGGUCAAAGUUGCUGGACUAAGCAGCCAGCACAUCCCUUCCAGCUCUAGCUUUCUAGUGCUAUUUGAAGCCUAACAGUAGAAAUAGAGAAAUAAAAUGGUUCUACAACAGGAGAAACUACCCAUAGCACACUGUUGAAAGAACGCCUGGUAAGACAGGGAAAGAUCCACAGGCGGCAGCCCUGAGGACUUUCCCUGUUUUCAUGGGGAGGAACUUCUUGUCCAAGCCCUAUUAUGUUGCUGUGUGUGUCUAACACAGAACUUGUAGCAUAAAAAGAAAU